rnacentral:rRNA from 1 species
CCAUGUGUAGCGGUGAAAUGCGUAGAUAUAUGGAGGAACACCGGUGGCGAAAGCGGCUCUCUGGUCUGUCACUGACGCUGAGGCUNGAAAGCGUGGGUAGCGAACAGGAUUAGAUACCCUGGUAGUNCACGCCGUAAACGCUGAGUGCUAGGUGUUAGGUCCUUUCCGGGACUUAGUGCCGACGCUAACGCAUUAAGCACUCCGCCUGGGGAGUACGACCGCAAGGUUGAAACUCAAAGGAAUUGACGGGGGCCCGCACAAGCGGUGGAGCAUGUGGUUUAAUUCGAAGCAACGCGAAGAACCUUACCAGGUCUUGACAUCCCGAUGCCCGCUCUAGAGAUAGAGUUUUUCUUCGGAACAUCGGAGACAGGUGGUGCAUGGUUGUCGUCAGCUCGUGUCGUGAGAUGUUGGGUUAAGUCCCGCAACGAGCGCAACCCUUAUUGUUAGUUGCCAUCAUUAAGUUGGGCACUCUAGCGAGACUGCCGGUAAUAAACCGGAGGAAGGUGGGGAUGACGUCAAAUCAUCAUGCCCCUUAUGACCUGGGCUACACACGUGCUACAAUGGUUGGUACAACGAGUCGCAAGCCGGUGACGGCAAGCUAAUCUCUGAAAGCCAAUCUCAGUUCGGAUUGUAGGCUGCAACUCGCCUACAUGAAGUCGGAAUCGCUAGUAAUCGCGGAUCAGCACGCCGCGGUGAAUACGUUCCCGGGCCUUGUACACACCGCCCGUCACACCACGAGAGUUUGUAACACCCAAAGUCGGUGAGGUAACCAUUUAUGGGGCCAG